rnacentral:rRNA from 1 species
GAUGAACGCUGGCGGCGUGCUUAACACAUGCAAGUCGAACGAGAAGUGAAGACGGAAACCUUCGGGCGGAAGGCUUUAUUUCGAGUGGCGGACGGGUGAGUAACGCGUGGGUAACCUGCCUCAUACAGGGGGAUAACAGUUGGAAACGACUGUUAAUACCGCAUAAGACCACAGCACCGCAUGGUGCGGGGGUAAAAACUCCGGUGGUAUGAGAUGGACCCGCGUUCGAUUAGCCAGUUGGCGGGGUAACGGCCCACCAAAGCGACGAUCGAUAGCCGAUCUGAGGAUGACCGGCCACAUUGGGACUGAGACACGGCCCAAACUCCUACGGGAGGCAGCAGUGGGGAAUAUUGCACAAUGGGGGAAACCCUGAUGCAGCGACGCCGCGUGAGUGAAGAAGUAUUUCGGUAUGUAAAGCUCUAUCAGCAGGGAAGAAAAUGACGGUACCUGAGUAAGAAGCCCCGGCUAACUACGUG